rnacentral:rRNA from 1 species
AGAGUUUGAUCCUGGCUCAGGAUGAACGCUAGCGGCAGGCUUAAUACAUGCAAGUCGUGGGGCAGCGCAGGUAGCAAUACUGGGCGGCGACCGGCAAACGGGUGCGGAACACGUACGCAACCUUCCUUUAAGCGGGGAAUAGCCCAGGGAAACUUGGAUUAAUACCCCAUAAUACUUUUGAGUGGCAUCACUUGAUAGUUAAAGCUCCGGCACUUAAAGAUGGGCGUGCGGCUGAUUAGGUAGUUGGCGGAGUAAUAGCCCACCAAGCCAACGAUCAGUAACUGGUGUGAGAGCACGACCAGUCACACGGGCACUGAGACGCGGGCCCGACUCCUACGGGAGGCAGCAGUAAGGAAUAUUGGUCAAUGGACGCAAGUCUGAACCAGCCAUGCCGCGUGGAGGAUGAAGGCCCUCUGGGUUGUAAA